rnacentral:sRNA from 1 species
UUGACAGCCCUGGAGACUGAUGUCCUAAUUAUCCUCAGAACAGGUGCACAUAAGCAUUUUCCUGCCAGCGUGACAGCCUAGAAGUGGAGAGCCCAAUUCUCAGAUUAGAUGGUAGUUCUCCAACUGCAGUCAUUCUACUGAGACA